UCCGCCAUCUGCAGCUCCCUGCAGACUUGCAUGCUCAGACGGGAGCUGUCCACCGCCUGCAACAGGAAAAGGGCUUGCUUGCGUGUGGUAACCACCUUCUUCAACUUUCUCUGGAAGGAUUGUGGAGAGACCUUUUUCUGCUAGAGAAAGUGUGCAACAUGGUAAAGAGAACUGUAGGAAGAGAAAUGGCAGCCCUGCUUGAGCAGUGAGAAUAAUAAAAUGGUCAUCUGGAGAGCUCCAGAGACAGUUGGCAAGGUUCAAAUUCAAGCUUUACCAGAUUCUAGGGAUACAAUGGUGAACAGGCAAAUGAUGAAGUCAAGUCCUGGAGAUGACUGGUGUUUAGUCCCUAGUUGCACUAAACCUGUUUUCAUGGAGUUUACACGAGAAGUGGAGACAAAAGACAGACAAUAACCAAGUAGUCAGUAAACCAAUAAAAUAAUUUCAGAUAGUGGUUUGGUGUGGAGAUUACUGAUGAAGAGCUUGACUUACUACUUGACAGAAUCCCCUUGAUGAAGAUGGAAAUGUCAGAGACCCCCGAUUCAUGCCACGUUGGAUUCUUAGCACUUCUUUUCCACAUUUUCUCAUUUCUUCGUACAUUUUUUAUUCUUGCUUUU
rnacentral:lncRNA from 1 species